rnacentral:rRNA from 1 species
GACGAACGCUGGCGGCGUGCCUAACACAUGCAAGUCGAGCGGACCGACCCCGUUUCUUCGGAGACGGGACAGGUUAGCGGCGAACGGGUGAGUAACACGUGGGCAAUCUGCCCCGAAGACCGGGAUAACUCCGGGAAACCGGAGCUAAUACCGGAUAAUUCUUUUCUACACAUGUAGGAAAGCUAAAAGACGGUUUACGCUGUCACUUAUAGAUGGGCCCGCGGCGCAUUAGCUAGUUGGUGAGGUAACGGCUCACCAAGGCCACGAUGCGUAGCCGACCUGAGAGGGUGAUCGGCCACACUGGGACUGAGACACGGCCCAGACUCCUACGGGAGGCUG